UUAGUUCGUGUCUCAUGUACUUACGUUAAAUUAAUGUACCGAAGUUAUUCAAGAACGUGCCUUAUUUUUCGUGGGUUUUUUUUUUUUUCUGCCGACGUUUUUUUUCUUCCUGCUGAAUUAGCAUGGCUGCUAACGUCCAUCCACCGCCCUUGUUUUUACCGUGACCAGGAGAACCUGCUCCUUCAACACCUGGAUGUCCAACUUGCUGGUGAUUAAUUCAACAGGGAACACUUGGCCUGACGCACAAGAGCCGAAGGAUAACGAACUUUCUACUCCUUAAACACAGAGUUUUCUGAGAAGAACUGAAGGAAGUGAAGCUGUUCUACAAGUCCUGGCCCACAGACAAAUGGAGUGAGCCUGCCUUGCUCACCCUCCUCACAGUAUCUCCUUCGUGGACACCUGGCUGAUAUGGACGCUUAGAGGCAGGAAGCGUCCCUCACUUAUUAUCAUCUCUGUCUGGCAGGCAGGAGCCACACCCACAAGCCUAAGACUGCAUCCAGACACUCCUGAACUUUUCCUGGAAAGCAACUAGGCAUCUUUAUAACAGAGAUUUUCUGGGCUCAAACCCUGAACGAGGUCGACUCACACGAUGCAGACGAAGGUGAAGAAGCAGCUUUGCAUYCCAMCCAGAUGGUUCAAGUCCMUUAAUGAACUGAAUGACUGGGAAUCCAUGGGAAAUUUGAGCCUUUGGAAGUUUAAACGUGAUUGAACAUCUCAUCAAACCUGGUGCACCAAGAACCUUUGCGAAGCACAAGAACUGGUCACAGAACAUUUCAAGCUCUUGGUAACUGGACCUAAGAGUUGGAUUAACCUUUUUUUGCAGAACAUAAACAUAAAAUAGACUGUUUUGUUUUAUGUUCACAGCGACUAGAGGUAAUGAGAGCACACAUUCAUAAA